rnacentral:rRNA from 2 species
AAUACAUGCAAGUCGAACGAACUCUGGUAUUGAUUGGUGCUUGCAUCAUGAUUUACAUUUGAGUGAGUGGCGAACUGGUGAGUAACACGUGGGAAACCUGCCCAGAAGCGGGGGAUAACACCUGGAAACAGAUGCUAAUACCGCAUAACAACUUGGACCGCAUGGUCCGAGUUUGAAAGAUGGCUUCGGCUAUCACUUUUGGAUGGUCCCGCGGCGUAUUAGCUAGAUGGUGAGGUAACGGCUCACCAUGGCAAUGAUACGUAGCCGACCUGAGAGGGUAAUCGGCCACAUUGGGACUGAGACACGGCCCAAACUCCUACGGGAGGCAGCAGUAGGGAAUCUUCCACAAUGGACGAAAGUCUGAUGGAGCAACGCCGCGUGAGUGAAGAAGGGUUUCGGCUCGUAAAACUCUGUUGUUAAAGAAGAACAUAUCUGAGAGUAACUGUUCAGGUAUUGACGGUAUUUAACCAGAAAGCCACGGCUAACUACGUGCCAGCAGCCGCGGUAAUACGUAGGUGGCAAGCGUUGUCCGGAUUUAUUGGGCGUAAAGCGAGCGCAGGCGGUUUUUUAAGUCUGAUGUGAAAGCCUUCGGCUCAACCGAAGAAGUGCAUCGGAAACUGGGAAACUUGAGUGCAGAAGAGGACAGUGGAACUCCAUGUGUAGCGGUGAAAUGCGUAGAUAUAUGGAAGAACACCAGUGGCGAAGGCGGCUGUCUGGUCUGUAACUGACGCUGAGGCUCGAAAGUAUGGGUAGCAAACAGGAUUAGAUACCCUGGUAGUCCAUACCGUAAACGAUGAAUGCUAAGUGUUGGAGGGUUUCCGCCCUUCAGUGCUGCAGCUAACGCAUUAAGCAUUCCGCCUGGGGAGUACGGCCGCAAGGCUGAAACUCAAAGGAAUUGACGGGGGCCCGCACAAGCGGUGGAGCAUGUGGUUUAAUUCGAAGCUACGCGAAGAACCUUACCAGGUCUUGACAUACUAUGAAAAUCUAAGAGAUUAGACGUUCCCUUCGGGGACAUGGAUACAGGUGGUGCAUGGUUGUCGUCAGCUCGUGUCGUGAGAUGUUGGGUUAAGUCCCGCAACGAGCGCAACCCUUAUUAUCAGUUGCCAGCAUUAAGUUGGGCACUCUGGUGAGACUGCCGGUGACAAACCGGAGGAAGGUGGGGAUGACGUCAAAUCAUCAUGCCCCUUAUGACCUGGGCUACACACGUGCUACAAUGGAUGGUACAACGAGUUGCGAACUCGCGAGAGUAAGCUAAUCUCUUAAAGCCAUUCUCAGUUCGGAUUGUAGGCUGCAACUCGCCUACAUGAAGUCGGAAUCGCUAGUAAUCGCGGAUCAGCAUGCCGCGGUGAAUACGUUCCCGGGCCUUGUACACACCGCCCGUCACACCAUGAGAGUUUGUAACACCCAAAGUCGGUGGGGUAACCUUUUAGGAACCAGCCGCCUAAGGUGGGACAGAUGAUUAGGG